UACGUAGGGCGCAAGCGUUGUCCGGAAUUACUGGGCGUAAAGCGCGCGUAGGUGGCUUUGCAAGUCGGGUGUGAAAUCCCCAGGCUUAACCUGGGAACUGCAUUCGAGACUGCAUUGCUAGAGUAUGGGAGAGGGAAGUGGAAUUUCCGGUGUAGCGGUGAAAUGCGUAGAUAUCGGAAGGAACAUCAGUGGCGAAAGCGACUUCCUGGACCAAUACUGACGCUCAUGUGCGAAAGCGUGGGGAGCAAACAGG
rnacentral:rRNA from 1 species